UGUUCUGUGGCUUAGUUGGUAGUUAAAGCACCGGUCUAGCGAAAACGGGGUCGUGGGUUCAAAUCCCACCAGAACGC
rnacentral:tRNA from 1 species